rnacentral:rRNA from 1 species
UACGAAGGGGACUAGCGUUGUUCGGAAUCACUGGGCGUAAAGCGCACGUAGGUGGAUUUGUAAGUCAGGGGUGAAAUCCCGGGGCUCAACCUCGGAACUGCCUUUGAUACUGCGGAUCUUGAGUCCGAUAGAGGUGGGUGGAAUUCCUAGUGUAGAGGUGAAAUUCGUAGAUAUUAGGAAGAACACCGGUGGCGAAGGCGGCCCACUGGAUCGGUACUGACACUGAGGUGCGAAAGCGUGGGGAGCAAACAGG